CAGACACUCAUUCAGACACUUUUGUCACCUCACUUACUCUCUCUGUCUCUCCCCCCUCUCCCUCUCUCAUAUUUCUCUUUUUUCUAUAAACAUAUUUCAGAAAUGGAGUUAUUGUCUCCCAACAAUUCCAGGAGAACCAAACAAUGGCUUCCUCCGAGAAGAGGACAGGUCAAGAUCAUGAUCGUCCGCAAACUCCUCAAAUCGACGGCCUCGAUCGUUUCACUGUGGAAGAGGCGAGAUUGUAAA